rnacentral:tRNA from 1 species
UGGGGUGUGGCCAAGUUGGUAAGGCACCAGGUUUUGGUCCUGGCAUGCGGGGGUUCGAGUCCCUCCACCCCAGCCA